AGUUUCUUCAUUAUUUUGUUUUUAAAAAGACUUCACUUGCGGCUUGACUGCGUCGUAGUGGGACUACCAGCAGCAAAAAUAAAAUGUCCGGCAGAGAAGGUGGCAAAAAGAAACCCCUGAAGACCCCCAAAAAACAACAGGCGGACUUAGAUGAUGAUGAUUUGGCUUAUAAACAAAAGCAGAAGGAGCAACAGAAAGCGAUGAAAGAGAUGCAGGCUAAAGCUGCAGGGAAAGGACCUCUAACGGGUGGAGGAAUCAAGAAGUCAGGGAAGAAAUGACAGCAUGAGACGGUCCAGGAAACCACUGCCAUCCGUGACUUAGAUAUUCUUCUUCUGGUGAAAGGAUAAUAGUGAAAAAAAAGACACAACUUUAUGUAUAUAAACUUUUACGUACAAAACUGCAUUAUAAACUAUUGAAAAAUGAAAAAAAGUAUGAUCUUUCAAAGUUGUAUGUGCAAUUUGUCCCCUGCCCCAUUUUUUUUGUAAUUUAAACUUUUUAGUAAAAUAAUGGUCAUGAUUUGAAAGUUUCUGAUUGGUAGCUAAUUAUGUCUUGACUGUGUAAAAUUUGUAAUUUAAUCAUAUACAAAGGUUGUUGGGUGUAAGUACUUUUAUAGAACUCAAGAUUGUUUUUUGUUUUUAAUAAAAAAAAAUUAAAUUUGUGCAUUUUUAAAAGGACAAUUUAAUUUGGUGCAAUUUAGGAAUUAUUGUGUUCACUAAGAAAUUUUUUCAUUGACUUGCUUAUAAAUUUAAAAUUCUCUAAUUUCAUUUAAUGAAUUUGAAAAGCUUUGGUCUAAAGUUUUUUUUAUUGUUACUAUAACAUAAAUUAAAGCUAUAUGAGCUGCAACUUUGAUGUUGGAAUUUUUUAUUGCAAAAUUGUUUUAAAUAACUAUUUAUGACAAAGAAAAAAUAGUGUUGAUAAACUUCUGUUAUUCAUAUUUGCAAUGGAAGAACUAUUUUUAAGCUUCAAUUUAAUCGAAGUUACAUUAUUGUCCUCUUGUAUAAUAAUUAUUUCUUACGUAAAACUUUAUAUUGGAUUGUGUAAAGAAGUCUUUCUUCUGCUUUAUUUUAGUCUAAUUGAUAAUAAAGGUUUAAGUUGCACACAAAUUUAUCAUAUUAACACAUUUUAACAGCAAAAUAAAAUUUUCAAAGUUGCAGCUCAUAUUGCUUUCAGUGUACUUACAAUUAGUUAAUAUUUCUCUAUGAUAAAUUUUUAAUAACUGGAUUUUAGAAGGACACAGGGCAUUUUCUCAUCUUCUCAUUAAAAAUACAUGUGUACAGAUUCCUUUGUAUUGUUUUAACAAAUGCCAUGAUAUUCAAUGUCUUACUAUUUUUCAUCAAAAAACAUUUAUAAAUCAGCCAUGUAACCCAUAGCUAAAAUAGAGGUCUUUGAUAAUUAAUUAGGCAUGAGGAAAUGUAAAAUUUAGUAAUUUAAUACCAAAAUUUCAGUAACAUUUCUUAAAUAUAUAUUGCGUUAACAAUUUAGAAAUCUUCAAAAAAUAUAUACUAUGGAUAUUUUAA